UACGUAGGGUGCGAGCGUUAAUCGGAAUUACUGGGCGUAAAGCGUGCGCAGGCGGUUUUGUAAGACAGGCGUGAAAUCCCCGGGCUCAACCUGGGAACGGCGCUUGUGACUGCAAAGCUAGAGUGCGGCAGAGGGGGGAUGGAAUUCCGCGUGUAGCAGUGAAAUGCGUAGAUAUGCGGAGGAACACCGAUGGCGAAGGCAAUCCCCUGGGCCUGCACUGACGCUCAUGCACGAAAGCGUGGGGAGCAAACAGG
rnacentral:rRNA from 1 species